rnacentral:rRNA from 1 species
AAGGUAGCGAAAUUCCUUGUCAGGUAAGUUCUGACCCGCACGAAUGGCGUAAUGAUCUGGGAGCUGUCUCAACUGCCCGCCCGGCGAAAUUGUAGUACCGGUGAAGAUGCCGGUUACCCGCGACUAGACGGAAAGACCCCAUGGAGCUUUACUGUAGCUUAAUAUUGGAUUUCGGCAUUUCAUGUACAGGAUAGGUGGGAGACUAGGAAACAUAGGCGUCAGCUUAUGCGGAGUCGUCCUUGGGAUACCACUCUUGGAGUGCUGAAAUUCUAACCUGCAGCCCUGAAUCGGGUUGGGGGACAUUGUUAGGUGGGCAGUUUGACUGGGGCGGUCGCCUCCAAAAAGGUAACGGAGGCGCUCAAAGGUUGGCUCAGCAUGGAUGGAAACCAUGCCAUAGAGUGCAAACGCAAAAGCCAGCCUGACUGCGAGACUGACGGGUCGAGCAGAAACGAAAGUUGGAGUUAGUGAUCCGGCGGUAUGUGAAUGGAAAUGCCGUCGCUCAACGGAUAAAAGCUACCCUGGGGAUAACAGGCUGAUCUCCCCCAAGCGUCCACAGCGACGGGGAGGUUUGGCACCUCGAUGUCGGCUCGUCACAUCCUGGGGCUGAAUUCGGUCCCAAGGGUUCGGCUGUUCGCCGAUUAAAGUGGCACGCGAGCUGGGUUCAGAACGUCGUGAGACAGUUCGGUCCCUAUCUGUCGUGGGCGAAGGAUAUUUGAAAGGAGCUGUCCCUAGUACGAGAGGACCGGGAUGGACGCACCUCUGGUGCACCAGUUGUCACGCCAGUGGCACAGCUGGGCAGCUAAGUGCGGAUCGGAUAAACGCUGAAAGCAUCUAAGCGUGAAGCCGUCCUUAAGAUAAGAUAUCCCACUUUUAAGUUAAGACCCCUUGUAGACUACGAGGUUGAUAGGUCUAAGGUGUAAGUUGUGUGAGCAAUUUAGCCAGCAGAUACUAAUCGGUCGAGGGCUUAAACCU